GAUGAACGCUGGCGGCGUGCCUAAUACAUGCAAGUCGAGCGAACAGACGAGGAGCUUGCUCCUCUGACGUUAGCGGCGGACGGGUGAGUAACACGUGGAUCACCUACCUAUAAGACUGGGAUAACUUCGGGAAACCGGAGCUAAUACCGGAUAAUAUAUUGAACCGCAUGGUUCAAUAGUGAAAUACGGUUUUGCUGUCACUUAUAGAUGGAUCCGCGCCGCAUUAGCUAGUUGGUAAGGUAACAGCUUACCAAGGCAACGAUGCGUAGCCGACCUGAGAGGGUGAUCGGCCACACGGGAACUGAGACACGGUCCAGACUCCUACGGGAGGCAGCAGUAGGGAAUCUUCCGCAAUGGGCGAAAGCCUGACGGAGCAACGCCGCGUGAGUGAUGAAGGUCUUCGGAUCGUAAAACUCUGUUAUUAGGGAAGAACAAAUGUGUAAGUAACUAUGCACGUCUUGACGGUACCGAAUCAGAAAGCCACGGCUAGCUACGUG
rnacentral:rRNA from 1 species